rnacentral:lncRNA from 1 species
GUAUUCUUGCCUGGAGAAUUCCAAGGGCAGAGGAGCCUAGUGGGUUACAGUCCGUGGCGUCACAGAGUCGGACACGAUUGAGUGACUAACACUUUCACUUUUCUCCCCCUCCCACAGGUGGGUUAACCUCCCUUCUAUCCCUGCCCUAAAUCUCAGUCAUUCUUUGCACCCUUUCUCCUAACAGACACUGAAAUCUGGGAUGGCCAAGCUGUCGCGUAUUCCUUCAUCUUUAUGCCCAUCAUUUCAUAGUGUUUGCUGAACCAACAGAUACAAGACGCACUUGCUCAAACACGUUUGGACUAUUCCCUCACAAACAUGUAUAAAAACUUUUGCCACGUGGUGUGAAUAAAGGCUGGCACGUAUAUGGUGCCUGCUACAUACUAAGAACACAGGUUAACCCGUUAUAUCCUCACAACCCUAUAAAGUAGGAACAAAUACUUGCAGUUUACUUGUGAAGAAAACUGGCCUCAGAGGUUGUGAUUUACUUAAAGUCACACACUGAAUAGCCCGGCAAGGACCAGGGUUAAUCCCACUCCAGGGUCUGAUCUAAACCACUAUCCUAACCUCUAUGCUGUGAAGGUCACUCUACUGCAGUAGGAACUGGAAUUUUCAGUGUCCACUCUUGAUGGUUAGGUAACAUCACGGACUCACUGGGCAUGAAUCUGAGCAAACUCCAGAAGACAGCAAAGGACAGGGGAGUCUGGUUUGCUGCAGUCCAUAAAGUCGCAGAGUCGGACACGACUGAGCGACUGCAGAAUAAACAACUCCUUGAGGGCAGUGUUUUGCUUCCUGCUGUUCUUCUUUAGGGCUCAGAACAGGGUCUUGGCUAGGCAUAGUGAAUGAAUCCGCAGCCUAGCACAGCCUGAAGGAAAUUUUCCGGAUCCUCGUCCGCUGCCCCAGGCUCAAACCCUACUACUGCCUUCCAAGAGUAUCAUAAGCGGCUCCCACAGGGGAACUACUUUUUCUCCCGCGGGGGCACUACUUCGCGGAGGCGUCAGCACUGGCGGCGCGCACGGCAUGGCGGCGGAGGCGCGCCUGAGGUAGAGGGACGCCGGCCCGGUCAGGCCUCGGCGCGGCCUACACGCUUUGCUCGCCCGCUCCCGCCCCAGCUCCCGCCCGGCCAUGGCGGAGCCCUCGCCCGCCCGACGCCCGGUGCCUCUCAUCGAGUCGGAGCUGUACUUCCUCAUCGCCC